ensembl:lncRNA novel transcript, antisense to LNPEP and ERAP2
CCAAGUGUUUCCUCAGCUUUUCUGCACCUUCCUCUCCAUUGACCUAGAGUGUCUAUGGAACACUCAGAGUGUCCCCUGUGUAAACCACCUACCACAAGAUUAUCAACUUCAGGCAAUGGACCACGCACCAGGAUUCCACCUCUUUCUAGCACCUAUCAGUGUUGCGCACAUCAUAGGCCCUCAACAAACAGUGUGAGAGAAACCUGUGACUUGCUUCUAACCCAUAGGAUAUGGCAAGGAACUAGUCAUAUCUGAGAGCAGCCUCCAGAAAACAGUCAGCAAAACACUGAGGUUCUCAAUCCGAUAGUCAAUGAGGAACGGAAUGCUGGAACAAUGAUGUGAGCUUGGAAGCAGAUCCUUCCCUUCUGCUGGGCCUCAGGUGAGACUGCAGCUCCAGUCAUCAUCUUGAUUGCAGCCCACAGAAACUACCAACCCACAGAAACUGUGAGUUAAUAAAUGUGUUGUUUUAA